rnacentral:tRNA from 1 species
GGGGAUUUAGCUCAGCGGCAUAAGCGCCUGCCUUGCAAGCAGGCAGUUGUAAGUUCAAUCCCUG